UCAACCUAUGAUUUAACUACACCGUUUAAUCUCAUUCGUUCAUUCUUUCUAAGGUUUUGCUAUAAAUAAAGGCUUCAUCUCUUGUUCUAGUAAUUGUUCUGAUUUUCGGCUUUCUCUGGUUCUUUCUCGUACGUUUAGAUGUAGAAAAUUUUCGCAAUCGCUUCCUUCAUUAUUUUUAUUUAUUUUAGGUUUUCCAUCAUAUUUGAUUUCGAAUUUUCCGUGAGAUCGAUUUCGAACAAUUUUUCUUUUUCAGAUCAAAGAUUUUCGAAAUUAAAAUUUUAUUCAAAACAAUUCCAGUUUAUUCAAUUAUAUUUCCCGUCUAUUUUUGCUUUUAAUUUUGCAGGCAACUCUGUGAGAACGGAGAGGAGGAUGAUUGUUGGAUGGAAUUUUGUGGAUCUGGGUUCACUCAGAUUUGUAGGUGCAAGAGCAAAAAGAACGAAAGAAAUCAUUCGUUCCAGGAUGUUUAGAUCUUUGAUGUACAGAAAUCAUUGGUAGGAGGAAGGUCAAAAAAAUACAUAAUAAAAAAGAAGAGUUUUGGUGUUGAACAGGGGAGUUCGCACGGGGUGUUUUUUUUGCCCGGGUUCUCUCCUGUUGUAUGUUGGUGUCCCUUUGUCUCUCUGAAUUCCUAUGGCCAUACAAAUCAUGUUUCUGAUCAUCAAGAUCAUCAAAGUCUUCAAGGUUCGAAUCAACAUCAUGGGAUCUAUAGAGUCUCGCUCAAGGAAGUUUCAGAAAUCUGCCGAUCUAACCCGCAAGGUAAAAUUAUUUUUACAAUACACCUGAUUUUUAGCAUGUUAUUUUAGAUUGAACUCCGAAUGAAACGAAUCCUCCCAAACAAGUUAAUACAUUCCCCGAAGAAAUUAAUACAUCCCGUAAUUCUGAUCCCCCGCUACAAUGUAACCUGGUAACUAAAAGUGUGUAUUGUAUAUAUUUUCUUUUCCACCGUUUUCCCCCGAAACAUAGUUUAGUUUGAUUCAUAUAAAGCAAAAGCAUUAUUGUUUAGUUUGAUUCAUAUAAAGCAAAAGCAUCAACUUCUUCAGUUGCUCAGUUGCUCAUUUGUUUACUUUCUUCGAUUUAUCAAUUUAUUCCGAGAAAUUCAAUAUUCUGAGAAAUUCAAUCAUUAAGAGGAAUGUGUUGGUCAAUUAUUAAAUAUUGGGUACAGUUGAUUAAAUUUUGGUUACAGUUGGGUACUUUUUGAGAUGUUAGUUUCAAGUUGGAAUGCAUUCCAUUUUCUUAAAGUUCUUAAGAUUUGAGGUUAAAAAUGAAACAUCAACUCCAAGCGCAGGAGAAGAAACAGGUUUCUCAUACUGUGAAUGGAUCUUGUUGUUCAAAGUACUCUGGCCUGGUGAGCUUUCAAAGUAAUCUGGCCUGGUGAGCUGAGCCCUGUAGUUGUCAUGAAGUUUCAAAUUUAUCAUGAUUUCUUAUAACUAGUUGUUCUUUAUUCCAUAGUUAUGAAUUUCAUUCAUAACUAUAGUAGUUACUACUAUUACUACUAUCAUUCUUUAUUCCAUAGUUAUGAAUUUCAUUCAGAAAUAAGAAUUAUUCAGAAUUAUUUAUCAAGUAGAUAUGCGUACCAAUUGGUUAUACUCCUAGCAUCUUAUAACUAUGUCAUUCUUAUUUGGAAAUUCAUUCUGACAUAAGAAUUGUUCAGAAUUUAUUUAUCAAGAUUUGGUUAUACUCCAAAGCGCAGGCGAAAGGAACAACUUUCUUAUACUAAUAUUCCAAUCUGGCGAUUUUUUGUUGUUCAAGUACUCUGAUCUGGUAAGCUGAGCCUGAGCCCAGUAAUUGUCAACGGGUAAUCUUGAGGUUUCAGAUUUAUCAUGAUUUCUUAUAAUUAUGUCAUUCAUUAGCUGAGCCCAGUAAUUGUCAGCCGGUUAUCUUGAAGUUUCAGAUUUAUCAUGAUUUCUUAUAUUUCAGAAAUAAGAAUCGUUCAUAAUUGCACUGGUAUUUUUUUAGUUCUUAUUCAAGUGCUACCAAAUGUCAGACUUCUGGAAAAAAAAAA